rnacentral:rRNA from 1 species
ACGCUCGACACGAGGCAGCAGUGGGGAAUAUUGCACAAUGGGGGAAACCCUGAUGCAGCGACGCCGCGUGAGCGAAGAAGUAUUUCGGUAUGUAAAGCUCUAUCAGCAGGGAAGAAACUGACGGUACCUGACUAAGAAGCACCGGCUAAAUACGUGCAGCAGCCGCGGUAAUCUGAGGCGGCGUGGCAAGGC